rnacentral:rRNA from 1 species
UACGAAGGGGGCUAGCGUUGCUCGGAAUCACUGGGCGUAAAGCGCACGUAGGCGGAUUGUUAAGUCAGGGGUGAAAUCCUGGAGCUCAACUCCAGAACUGCCUUUGAUACUGGCGAUCUCGAGUCCGGGAGAGGUGAGUGGAACUGCGAGUGUAGAGGUGAAAUUCGUAGAUAUUCGCAAGAACACCAGUGGCGAAGGCGGCUCACUGGCCCGGUACUGACGCUGAUGUGCGAAAGCG